rnacentral:rRNA from 1 species
CGGGUUGUAAACCUCUUUCGGCAGGGACGAAGCGGGAGUGACGGUACCUGCAGAAGAAGCACCGGCCAACUACAUGCCAGCAGCCGCGGUAAUACGUAGGGUGCGAGCGUUGUCCGGAUUUAUUGGGCGUAAAGAGCUCGUAUGCGGCUUGUCGCGUCUGAAGUGAAAACCUUCAGCUCAACUCCGGGCCUGCGGGCUAUACGGGCAGGCUUGAGUUCGGGAGGGGAGACUGGAAUUCCUGGUGUAGCGGUGAAAUGCCCAUAUAUCAAGAGGAACACCGGUAGCGAAGGAGGGUCUCUGGGCCUUAACUGACGCUGAGGAGCGAAAGCGUGGGGAGCGAACUGGAUUACAUGGCCUGGUAGUCCAUACAGUAAACGUGGGGCACUAGGUGUGGGAGGCCAUCCCUGGUUUCUGUGCCACAGCUAACGCAUUAAGCGCCCCGCCUGGGGAGUACGGCCGCAAGGCU